UUCUACUUCCUGUAUAAUCCGGAAGUGGCGGUAGGUGGUGGUGAUGAGCGCGUGCUGUGUGUGUUGUGGAGCAGGUUGGAGUUUUGAGGUGAUUUUCUUCAUGGACUUUACUGACAAAUGUGGAUGGCAGUGGAGCAGUGGCAUGUGCAGUGGUGUGAAGAUAAUGGAGAACUUUCCAGGAGAAAUGAUGAUCUCCGUGCAGUCAGUGGCUGUAAACACCGAUCUCUCCAUGGAGGACAUCGAGCUUCUCCAUGCUCACAUUACUGCACUGAAGAACGAGGUGGCCGAAUUACACCAGAAGUUAACACACCACCCAGGAGCUGAGCUUCAACACCAGGAGGAAGGGUUCUGUCCAGUAUUGAAGACUGAACUGAGUCCAGUCCCGCUGGAGCAGCUGGAGAACGAUGCCCUCAAACCGGAAUUCUGUUGGACUUCAGAGUGUAAAACUGAAGAACAUCACCCACACAUUAAAGAUGAAGACCUGCACACACUCCCACAGGUGGACGACGUUCACGUUUAUAAAAGUGAACCUGAGCUGAUGGAAAUCUCACACACAGCAAACACACACACACUACACAACACACACACUACACAACACAUACUACACAAUACACACACAAACACUGAACACAUACUACACAAUACACACACAAACACUGAACACAUACUACACAA